rnacentral:lncRNA from 1 species
UGUAUUAGGAGGAGAUAACUGAAUGAGGACAGCGGGGGCUGGGCCUUCCAUGGGCUCUAUUUCUUCUUCGCUAUGGAGCUGUGGAUGAGGUGGUGGAGAAGAUGCUUCCUUUGUUAGUAAAGGUGGAGGAGUCUCCUCCUCGCUGGCAGUUUGCUCUGGCAGCGCUACAAGUGAGGCCUUCUUUCGAUCUUCAGUCAGUCGAGGAGGGGAAGGAGACUUCGAUUUUUCCUUUAAGCCUUGUGAAGAUUUUAUUUCUCUUUCUUCCUCCUCAAGGGGAGAUGUUGUUUUCAUUUCCUUCUCCUGCUGCUGUCUGGCCAGAUGACUUUUUCUAGCCUCUUCCUGGGAUCUUGUAAAUCUCCCUCCUCUCUCUAACACCUCCUGUUCCUGGGAUCUUGUUUUGGGUCUCUCAUCCAUCAUCUCCUCUGGUUUUACUCUAGGUAUCUCUUCCCCUUCUUCCUUAAACUCUUUCAGGAUUGGUGCCUCCCUAGAUUUUUGUCCCUCAUCAUCACCUUCCUCUUCUUCAUCAUCUUCUUCCUCCUCCUCCUCCUCCUCUUCUUCCUCCUCUGUUUUCAAAUUUCGAUCUGCUCUGACCCUUAGGUUUCUGGAAGGUGUU